AGACGAUUAGUCUAAAAAAGAUAGCCGAUUUCGACUCCGCAGAACAUGGUUCAACCCCAUGACCGUCUU
rnacentral:tRNA from 1 species